rnacentral:rRNA from 1 species
AUACGGAGGAUCCGAGCGUUAUCCGGAUUUAUUGGGUUUAAAGGGUGCGCAGGCGGCCAUUUAAGUCAGCGGUUAAAUCGUGGGGCUCCACCCCAUUCUGCCGUUGAUACUGGGUGGCUUGAUUGCGGUCGAGGUUGGCGGAAUUCGUUGUGUAGCGGUGAAAUGCAUAGAUAUGACGAAGAACACCGAUUGCGAAGGCAGCUUACUAAGCUGUUACUGACGCUGAGGCACGAAAGCGUGGGGAUCAAACAGGAUUAGAUACCCUGGUAGUCCACGCUGUAAACGAUGAUUACUGGUUGUUAGCGAUAUAUAGCUAGUGACUGAGCGAAAGCAUUAAGUAAUCCACCUGGGGAGUACGUCGGCAACGAUGAAACUUAAAGGAAUUGACGGGG